rnacentral:rRNA from 1 species
GACGAACGCUGGCGGCGCGCUUAACACAUGCAAGUCGAGCGAAGCAGCGGACGGGUGAGUAACACGUGAGUAACCUGCCUUAGACAUUGGGAUAGCCUCGGGAAACCGGGAUUAAUACCAAAUGGUCUAAGAUGGACUCGCGUCCCAUUAGCAAGUUGGUGAGGUAACGGCCCACCAACGCGUCGAUGGGUAGCCGGCCUGAGAGGGUGAACGGCCACAUUGGAACGGAGAAGCGGUCCAAACUCUACGGGAGGCAGCAGAGGGGAAUAUUGCACAAUGGAGGGAACUCUGAUGCAGCGAGGGUGGGUGAACGAAGAAGGCUGGCGAGUAGUAAAGUUGGUUUAUAUGGGAAGCGGUACCAUAAGAAAAAGCCCCGGCUAACUACGUGCCAGCAGCCGCGGUAAUUC